GAUGAGGACAUCCUCCACUAUUACCCGUUGGCAAAGACGCAAUUGGCCCAGUUGGCCCAAUUGUAGUCGGACGACGACCGUGUGAGCCUCAGAAUUAUCCCACCUCGCUUAACUUGGGAGGAGGAAGCCACUUUAAAAGGGAGAGCCACCCUUCCCCCAUUGGACUAGUCUUUUGGGGCGAUUGGGCCUUUCCCUGAGUUGGGUGUGCUUAAUGAACUGUUGGGCUCCGGGCAACCCUAAUUUGUUGGGCCUUGGCCAACCCCACCUGGGCUGGGUGUAUCAUCUGGUAUCAAAGCUAGGGCCCAUUUUAAGAAGGUGGGAAUGAUGAGGACAUCCUCCACUAUUACCCGUUGGCAAAGACGCAAUUGGCCCAGUUGGCCCAAUUGUAGUCGGACGGCGACCGUGUGAGCCUCAGAAUUAUCCCACCUCGCUUAACUUGGGAGGAGGAAGCCACUUUAAAAGGAAGAGCCACCCUUCCCCCAUUGGACUAGUCUUUUGGGGCGGUUGGGCCUUUCCCUGAGUUGGGUGUGCUUAAUGAACUGUUGGGCUCCGGGCAACCCUAAUUUGUUGGGCCUUGGCCAACCCCACCUGGGCUGGGUGUAUCACCUACAAGUAUGGUCUCAAGUCAAUGACAAGGUUGUAGCGUCUUUUUUGCUCACAUCUCUCUAAGGACAGAGGCAUGGAAAUUUAUGAUGGCCUAGAUGCGUGCCUCGUAGUGCAUGUCCACGACGAGCUUCUUAAAUCACGUGGUAGCCAGCACAACCCCUGCCCUCAUAUCUAGCCUCGCAUCUAAAGGAAUCCUGCAUACAAACACGAUGUAUCCAUACAUUAUUUCAAGAAUGUGCAACGAAUGUGAAGUAUUAAACAUUAUAGUGCGAGAAAGACUUACCCACAACUCUUGCUUCACCCGCUCCACCUUGUUAUUAAAUUCCAUGCUAUCUCGAUCUUCUGCAUCAAGGGCGACAUCGUAGUGGUCGAAGGAAAAGGCUAGGGAAGGGUAUCCGCCAUAGCCAACAAUCCUAGGGAAGUGUUCCCUGACCAAAACUCUUAAUCCGAUUACAAUGUUAAUUUAGCCAUAACAAUAUCAAUAACAAUGUUAGCCUUGGUUCAUAAUAACAAUAAUAAUCUGUAAUUUAGCCAUUACAAUCUCAACAUAUAACAAUAUGAACCUAUAAUCUAAACCUAUAACAAUAAACGAGCAACAAUCAAGUAAUUUAUAAUAGUAAAUAGAGAAAUAAUCACGUAACUAGAUUUAUUUUCUCCUUGCAAGAUUUUCACCUUUGGGGUGGCCAGAUCUAGGGACAAAAGGGCGGGGAUGGUAUCUAUGAUGAAGAAACAUCUAGGAAUAAACAUUUAGCAACUCAAGGUGACGAGUCGAGAAUGAGAGACAACUGCUGCAACGGAUGAGUGGAGGCCUCACGAUGAAGAAUUGCGAAUGAUAGGGUGGCACGAUGAUGGGUUGGAUCGGAUCCGAUCUGAGUUUGGCUAAUUGCAGGCGACAAUCGAGUGGGAAGGGUGGGCAGUGGUGGGGCAAAAUCAAUUUGGGUGGGCUAAUGCACAUGCAGGGGUGCUUCAGUGUGAUUUUAAUCUAUGUGGCUAGUUCAGGUGAUGGGUCUCUGGUCCGUCACCAUAGGUGAUAAAUAGUGCAACCACAUAUAUAUAUAUAUAUGUAUAUAGAAAGGUAUAUUGGAAGCUCUGGGCUUUCAAAUGCUAGAGGAAGCCCUGACCGGCCACCCCUGCGCCCUUGGACCAUGCCGGCACGCCCUCACACCCCAUGCCUGUGUGUACUACGUCAAACCUCCCCCACGUGCGUCAGUCAAACCCACGGUCCAACAUCCUAACUGUUGGGGCCUUCCUCUUCCGAAGGUCCUUAAAAACAUGACUAACCAUCUGCUUUUAGUAUAACAUGAAUUGUUAUAGGGAGCUUCGGCUUCAGGAUGGAGGUUUUCUCCCAUGGCAAAGGUAUACAAGACGAAGAUAUAGCCCGAAGAUGAUAAGAUUGAACGCUGAAGCUAUAGCCGAAGAGUAACAGCUUCGGCUUAGAAUGAUGAUGAAGACCAAACAUGAUGUUGACCCGAAGAGGAAAAGACUAGCUAGUCCCUAAUGAUAUAUGUUAUAGUUACGAGUAAACGUUAAGGAUACAAAUGUACUUUUACUCGGGCUGCGUCCCGUGCCUAUAAAUAGAUGAACAAUAGCACCGUUUUUUCACGCUGGAUUGUAAUCGCUCUCGCGUCAGCACCUUCUAACAAGCCGAAGGUUUCAAUGUAAUGUAAAUUUUGUUAAUGUUCGUGUAUACAUUAUGAAAUACAUAUGUGAAUGAGCCAAUUGAUUACAUUCAUUAUCUCUAUGUAUUGUUAUUCAUUUAUGAAUGAUGAAUACAUGUCCUUCAUGAAUUUCGUGUGAAGAUCAUUAUAUCCAAGAAGAGAUAAUGCUUCGGAGGACGAAGGUCCUUAAUCCUGAACAAUUGUGUUGCCUUGUUCUUGAUUUACAUCAUUUGAGAACAAGUGAUCAACAUUAGCGCCCACCUCCGGUGAACUCAAACGACCACCUUACGCAAGCAUUCAUCUUCGUCAUGCCGCCGAAGAAGGCAACAACGCCAGGGGCUGCCCUGCAGCCACUAGACACCAACCAAGAGACUCUCUCGCUGAGAGAAGCCCGGAGCCAGAAAAGGAAGGCUACCAGCCCAACACUUCAUGAGGAGGAGUUAGACAAAGAAAUCAGAGACCUAGAAGCCAUACACCAACAAGUGCAGAGGAAGAGAGAAAAGAUGCUUCGGCUAGCCGACCUUCAAAGGAAGAUCGACGAAGCUACUGAAGAAAUGCGUCACAUCACCCAAGAUUACCAAGGACGAAGGCCUCAAUAGAGAGAGCUUCGUCAAGAGAGUCUAAUCAAUGAUGAAUGUGAAAGUCGCCUAGAGGGGGGUGAAUAAGCGAAACCUGAAAAUUUACAAACUUUGAACACGCACUAUGCCCGGGGUUAAUGUUAGAAUUAAUUCGAAGUGCAGAAGAUAGUUCUUCUUGCUAUGAGUUGCUCAAUCAAUGUGGAUAACUUUGGGAGCUAACUCAAAUCAAUAUGAGCAAGGGAACUUUUAGAGAGAUGAAAGAAGGGGAAACAAAUCAAGUGGAGAUCAACACAAAUGAACACGGUGAUUUGCUUACCGAGGUUCGGUUCCAAAGAACCUAGUCCCUGUUGAGGAGGCCACAAAGGCUGGGUCUAUUCCAACCCUUUCCGUCUCUCAAUCGAUCACACAGACCGAUCGAGUUCUUAUCCUUAAUCACUUGUGUCACUAAGACCCUGCAAGGAUCACCACACACUUAGGAGUCUCUUGCUAGCUUUACAAAGCACUUAGAGGAAUUAGAAUGAGAAGGAGAAAGCAAUCCAAGCAACAAGAGCAACAAAAGAAACACAAAACACCCUCUCUCAAGUCACUAAGCAAUUGAGUUGAUUUUGAGGCUUGGAGAGGAUUUGAUCUUUUGGAUGUGUUUUGGAGUGAAUGCUUUUGCUCUUGUAAUGAAUGUGGAGUUCAAAAAACUUGGAUGUCUUGAAUGGUGGUGGUUGGGGGUAUUUAUAACCCCAACCACUAUUCUAGCCGUUGCUGUCGAUGGCACACCGAACAGUCCGGUGGUGCACCAGACAUGGCACUAUUCAUUGUCCGGUGCUUGCCAAGUCAGCAGACCGUUGGGGUUUGGAGCGGUUGACCGUUGAAGUUCCUUGUCCUCUUGUUGCACCGCACAGUCCGAUGGCACACCGGACAGUCCGGUGCGUUCUGACUUCGCAGCUCUGACUUCAGACUUUGGCACUGUGCAAUUUUAAUGUUCACCGCAGUCGACCGUCGGGCGCAGUUGACCGUUGCUCCGUUGGCUCACCGGACUUGUCCGGUGAAUUAUAGCGGAGUUACUCUGGGAAAAACCCGAGAGCGGCCAGUUCGUGGGGUGCUCGACCUGGGCACCAGACAGUGUCCGGUGCACCACUGGCAGCACCAAUGCUUGUAUUUGCUCCAAACUUUAUAGAGUUCCCAACUUAUUUUCUUUGUUGGUUUAUGUUUAACUUUAUGCACCUGAGAUAAAUGAUAACUAGGCAAACUUUGCAGAUAAAUGAUGGACGUCAAACACCAAAAUCGAUUAAAGGAAAUGAUUAAGCUCAUUUCCAUUUCAAUCUCCCCCUUUUUGGUGAUUGAUGCCAACACAAACCAAAACAAAUAUAAAGUGUAGGAAUGUAAUUAGUUUGCAAUUUUGAUAGAUGUGCAAAAAGUUACUUGAAUUUAAACCAUCUGUAAGUAAUUUUACGUAUAUAUGAUUGCUUUCUUCUAGAUUAACAUUUUGGACCACAUUUGCACCACUUUGCUUGUUUUUGUAAAUCUUUUUGUAAAAGUCUUUUCAAAUUCUUUUGCAAAUAGCCAAUGGUAUAAGAAUAACUCUAUGUAUUUUGUUAAUGUUCGUGUGUACAUUAUGAAAUACAUAUGUGAAUGAGCCAAUGGAUUACAUUCAUUAACUCUAUGUAUUCUUAUUCAUUCAUGAAUGAUGAAGACAUGUCUUUCAUGACUUUCAUCUAAAGAUCAUUAUAUCCAAGAGAAGAUAAUGCUUCGGAGGGCGAAGGUUCUUAAUCCUUAACAAUUGUGUUGCCUUGUUCUUGAUUUACAGUAUUUGAGAAGAAGUGACCAACACUAAUCCCUCAUGGGACACACACCAUAAAUUGAGGUUCUGUUUUUUUGCGCAAAUAGCAUAAAUAGUUCACAAAAUAGUGUAACUAGUUCAUAGAGAUGGCAUAAAAACCUUGUCCAGCAACUGGACACAUGCACACGCGCAGACGCAUGCACGCAGAUCCUAUUUUUAUGGUAGAUCACAAUUAUGGCAGAUCGUGGGAGGUUCCAUUGUAUGUUCGCAAAUUUUGGAUGAUAUUUUCGUUUCCACUGCAUACGUGCAAAAUUUGGAUGACUCUAUAAAUAUAGGAUCGCUCUAACAGCCAUACAACUAGGCUCGUUAUAACCAGUUUAUGAUAUAUACUAAUACUAAUUAUGCUACACGAUGUAGUUAUUUAUGCCACUUGGUACAUUGUGUAAAAAUCUGUUUACUGUUUCAUACGCACAAAUUUAGGAUGACAGGAAUGUGCAAUGAAUGGAAAUGUAUUGACAUGCAUGGAAACAAAAAUUUUUAUUUAAAUGCUUUAUUUUCUCUAUAAAUAUAAGAUCACUCCAACAACAAGGCAACUAGGCUCGUUAGAACAACUUAUGAUAUAUACUUAUACUAAUUAUGCUACACGAUGUAGGUAUUUAUGCAAUACGGUACACUGCGUAAAAAUCUGGUAUGCGGUUCAUUGAUGAACAUAUCUCCAUGUUCGGGGGUAAAAACAUUCAGUUUUGAGCGCAAAACCCGCAGUUAUGAGUGCAAAUGGCCUUAUAUCCGGUAGCGGUUACCUUUUUGUGAAUUUUGUUACAUUGCAUAAAUGUGUAUGUCAUAAAUAUCUAAUACAUAUGGCGUAAAUGGUACGAACCUCAUAUACACACUGGGUUAGGUAACGAUAUAAUGCAUAAAAUCAAUACAUGUUUGCGUAAAAUGUGAAAAUAUCAUAAACAUACAAUAGAUGGAAAGCGAUGCCAUGAACUAAAAUAUAUGUCGUAAAAACCUAAUGACGUUGGCAUAAAUAUGUAUACAAAGUAGCAUAAAUAUGUUCGUCGCUCGCACCUAAGGGAGACGUCGCCGCCUCUAAUGACGUUGCCAUCGCGCGUCCUAGGGGCCCGCUGCUGCUGUGCACCCCCGGGAACCGUCGCCUCCCCUCUGGGACCUGCCAUAGCUCGCGCCUAGGGGAGCCCCCCAGCGCCUAGUCAAUUCUGCCGCUGCCACUCCCACCUCGAAUGUGUUGCUAUCAUGCACGUCUUAGAGGACCGUUGACGCGCGCGUGCCCCCUAGGUCCACUGCCGUAGCCACUCCCACCUCGUAUGCGUUGUAUGUGACAGGCCAGAUCUGACACUCACUGGGAUCCACCACCGCUCCCACCCGUCGCCGCGCCUCCGGACGGGGGAGCCGCCACUGCGCCUCCGGACGGGGGAGCCGCCACUGCGCCUCUGGAUCGUGAGCCAUCGCCCGCCUGCCUCGGGAUGCGCCGUCGCUCGCCAUCGCGAUUGCCGCUACUCGCACGCCUCGAGGGAACCGUCGCUACCGCUAAAACCGUAAUUCCUAACAAACUGGUCCGGCUCAACUAGAUGGCACGUCUAGCCUGAGCUUCUUCUUGUUAUUGGAAGCCCAGAGCUUAUAUAUAUGAAUGCACGAUGCAUGACCUAAAAUUGUUGUUACGCUCCAACGUAGGAUGUGUUUAGUUGGUGUAAGUAAAGUUUAGUACAUGUCGUAUCAUAUGUUUAAAUGUCAACUAUAGUCUAAUUAUAAAAUUAAUUAUAUAGAUGAAAACUAAACAUUGUUUCAAAUUUAUCAAUGCUAAUUAAUUAAUCUAUGAUUAACAAAUGUUUAUUGUAGCAUCACAUGUUAGGCUUAAUAGAUUCGUCUUGUUGUUCCGUCAUUAAUAGUGUAAUUAGUUUUGUAAAGACAACAUAUUCAAUAUAUUGAGCACUAGAACAGGCAGCGGACGGUCCGGCCUAGAGGCCGGACGAUCUGCGGUCCGGAGAGUCCACGCUGGUGGCGCGUACGGUCCACGCGCAUGCAGAAUCAGUUUGGAUUCCGAGUUUCUUACGAGAUUUGUUAGCUAAAUCUGCGGGAUUAACUCGGGAAAAUGCUUGUAACGGGUCCGGACCUCAUAUAUACACACACACACACACAUGGAGGGCUACACCGGAUUGGAACACCAACAAUCGAACAAAUAAUCAAUAUACAUCUAUUUCUUUAACUUUUGCAUUAGGAGUAGACAGUAAAUUAGAUUCCUCUAUCUAAAUCUUCACCUCUCUCCGGCUCUACGUCGAUUAGAGGCGUUUUUGGGUGGCCUGCCGAUCACAAGACAAAGUCUAGGAUCUCUCCUCCCCGACGGGGUCCCUAUCGGGAGCGAGAUUCAUGCGCUGCCAGCGAACUCCGCCGCCCCUGCGCACGCGCGGACCGUCCGGCUCGUCAAGCAGGAAUCCAACCCCUGCGCCAAGUCGCGGACCGUCCGGCCCCUGGCCGCAGACCAUUCGCGCAUCCGCAGAGAGCACUGUCGCUGGGUCUCAUCGUAGUGAUUGAUGCCCGGUUCAGCGCCAACACGAUACUUCUAAAUAACAUCUAAACAUCUAGUGUGACAUGGACUAAACUUUUGUUAUAACCAAAUAUGUCUUUAUUACAAGUAUGAAGACUAAUAAUUAUAACAAUUCUUUCCGAUGAUGCUUUCCAACGAGUCCUCAGCUCCCAGUCCAAUUCCUUUCUGUCUCUUGCUGCUUGUGCUCUUCCGGAGAUUAUGUCAAGGUCGUGGUCGUCGUCUGAGUCAUAACUAGUUAUCACUUUUUUUUCUGUUAGUCCGGCUACGCGUGCAUAUCUUUUUGUGGUUACAUCAGCCAUUAGGUGUCCUAAACAAGGGACAUAAACUAAUUCAUCGGCCGGCCAAGUACGUAGAUUAACGUGACAAAAGUGCCGCCGUGUCGUGUUGCGUCAUAUUCAUUAGACUUAAGUAAUUUAUUGACCCCUGGCUUAGUCUCAAGUACUGGUAGUAUAUAUCUUAGACGUCUUUGUUGGACCGAGUCGUGUGUCAUGGCUAGACCCGAGUCGCGGAAAUGUAAAAAAAAAUAUAUCAAGGCAGGGCUGUAGAGCUCUCGUCCUAGUUGCUCUCAAUAAUUCAUCGAAAAGAAGCCGUUUGGGAGGGCUUCCAAACCGUCUUCGGUUUUUGAGGUGCUCUCUCAGUCUUAAAAAAAAGCUUCCAACAAAAAACACUGAGAAGCCAGAGUCAAAGUUAUUUUCGAAGGGACUGGAGCCGUAUCAAACAUAACUCUAAUGUAUUGGAAACUUAUGUUCUCUCCGCUGAUUCUCAAGACCAGGAAUAUAGGACGAUAGGGUCGGUGGGCGCGGUCUUCCACGGCGAGGCAUCUUUGUCGCAUGCUUUUAUAAUUUGGUCAUAGUAAGCGUUUAGCCAAAAGAAUAUAUAAACUUACUUGACUUAUUAAAAUAACACGAUCUUAUUUUGAUGCUAUAUGAUUGGCAGUUUUUUCAGAGUCUAUUUAUUUGUUUAAAUAAAAGAUUACAUAAAAAAUAAAUUAUAGUUCAACAACCAAACACGUAAAAGCUGAUUUCCUACAUACUAGAGUAAAUAACAUCUUAGCACUCAUGAUCAAACACGUAAAGACUAAUUUCCUAAUAUGAGUAAAUGGUAACAUAGCACCAAAUGUUUUUUUCCAACACUACUACUACCCAUUAUAGUGCGAGCUACCAGCAUCCAUCAUCCAUCAGGCCAGUAUUAGAGCAGAUUAUUUGGAGCUUUGUAUAUAUAUAUGCCCCUUGACAGAGCAACGUCCCAUUUAGCCCUUGCUUUACUUCUAUGCCGAGGUAAUGUGGAUUAAUGCAGAUGUUGAUCACUCGCUUUUGAUCAUUCGCGGUAUUAAAAAUAAGGCAAGAUGAUUAGAUCAAGCUUCAUCUUCAUCCUUUAAUUCCUUAUCAGGGGGAAGGUUAAUUAAAGGAUGAAGACGUAGAAAAUGAGUAAAGGAAAUGUAAAGAAUACUUGGGGCAAAUCAUGCGUAAUAUAAAGAUAAGACACGCAAUUAACCUUAUAAGGUAAUUCUCCUCCUCCUUAUUGCUUAACAAAAGAUUACAUGUAAAACUUCGGCUCCGCGAAGUUACAGGAAGAAGAAGAAGGAAAUAUAGCUUCGAAGACAGAUCGGUCUGUUUCUCUCCGACUCAUAAAAAGUGUGAACAAUGCAUGUCACUAUUCCUCUAUUUAUAGUUACACGAUACAACUUUGACAAAAUUACAAUUGUGCCCUCAAUCCUAUACAUUUGAACUAUUGGAUAAAUUAAGGGUAGUGUUGUCUUUUCCUCUUGUCUUGUUUAGCAAGCCUUGAGGACUUAUCAUAGCUUCGUCUUGCUUCGUUAGAUACGCAAACACCUUGUUAAUCCAAGCUGAUGCCUUCGUACUUGCGCCCAUGGUUGUUAAGUUAGUGUUUUGAGGACCUUCGGAAGAAGGCCCCCAACAGCGAACGAAGAUCACUCAUCUUGAUUAUAGCUGCCAUACCUCCCAUGAACGACUUAAUGUCUUUGCAGCUAGACCUAGUGACCACAAGGUCAUCGACGUACACCCCAGUUACCAAUUACAUAACAUCAUUCCUCGUCCUUAUUACUUAACAAAAGAUUACGUGUAUACCUUCGGCUCCGCGAAGUUACAGGAAGAAGAAGAAGGAAAUAUAGCUUCGAAGACAUAUCGACCUGUUUCUCUCCGACCCAUAAAAAGUGCGAACAAUACAUGGCAUUGUUCCUCUUUUAAUAGUUGCGAGAUACAACUUCGACAAAAUUACAAUUGUGCCCUCAAGCUUAUACAUUUGAACUAGUGGACAAACUAAGGGUAGUGUUGUCUUUUCCUCUUGUUGUCUCGUUGAGCAAGCGUUGAGGACUUAUCAUAGCUUUGUUUUGCUUUAUUAGAUACGCAAACGCCUUGUUAAUCCAAGCUGAUGCCUUCGUACUUGUGCCCGUAGCUGUUCCAGCCGAUGAUGAACUUCGAUAUUCUACCUGUAACACUUUAAACAUGCUCGAAAAUAGCUAUUAAGUUAGUGUUUUGAGGACCUUUAGAAGAAGAAGGCCCCCAACAGUGAUCACUAUCUAGAUUAUAGCUGCCAUAGCUCCCAUAAACGCCUUAUUGUCUUUGCAGCUAGACCCAGUGAUCACAAGGUCAUCGACGACACCCUAAUUACCAAUUACUGUUGGGGACUUAUUCUCAAAUACUAUGCAUUAAGAACAAGGCAACACAAGAUUUUAAGUGUUAAUACCCUUCGUCCUUCGAAGCAUUAUUCCCCUUAAGAUAUAAUGAUCUUCAGACGAAGGGCAUGAAGGACAUACCUUCAUCAUUGUAAUAUGUACUAAUAAAAGAAGAAGCAUAUAUGAAGUGUAAGAGACAACAUAAGCAAUCAUAUAACAUUGUCAAUUCAUUCUUAUUAUAUUAUCAUGGAAAGAUAGAAAUAAUAUCGACUUACAAAAGUACCUUCAGCUUGGCAGAAGGCAAAAAACACCAGCGUGGCGCAAAAGCAAGUACAAGUCAGCGUGAAUAGUACGGGGGUACUGUUCACCUAUUUAUAGACACGGGACACAGCAUGUGUAAAAUUACAUCCAAGCCCUUUACAUUUGCUAAUAACUUUAAGGUAAUCCACCGAGGUCUAAAUAGCCUUUUCCCUUUUAAGUCGGUUCCCCUUUUCUGCCGUUAUGCCGAAGCUCCUUUGCACGUAGCUUCGGCGCUGCGUCAACCUUCGUAUUGUUCAUGCUUUUCACACCGUGUGAUUCUGAUCCGAGAUAGAAGGCACCUGUUCACAUAUUUCACUCGGAAAACAUUGUUAGAUUAUGUUUUUGAGGACCUUCGGAAGACGAAGGCCCCCAACAGUAGCCCCUCGCAAUAUUAAUUUGUUAGAAUAACGAAUUCAGAUUGCGACAUGGACAAAGGCCCUAACCCGAAGGUCCGAAAAAACACCUUCCCUUUGCUAGAAUAGCAACAGUCAAUGACAAACGGGACCCUCCAACUUGGAGCGCGUCGAUCGUAUAAAUAGGAACUCAUCCUAAGCACAUUUGGUACGCUACUUGCCGCUUGCUUUGUUAACUCAAUUUUUAGCUCUUGCUUGCCGACGCCUGCUUAGUUUCUCAGACUUCCUAAGCUUUGGUUUUAAGGACGCAUUUUCGUCAUUUUCGAAGAAAAGAUGUCUCAAGACAAAAAAGUUGCUGCUGAGACGAAGCUUAGCGAAGAGGAGAAGCUUCUUGAGGAGAAGACUGCUGAUGAGGACAUCACUAUCAUUGAUACAACCAUACCAGUGACCACUUCACCAUUCGUAGCUAAUCAAGGACCAAUGACACGAGCCCGUGCACGUAAACUUAAUUAUCAGGUGAACUCGUUCCUUGCCAUUGAAGCUAAUUCUUCUUUAAAUGAGGUACUAAAGCCUUACGAUGACUUUAUUAUGCUCAAUUGUUUGGGAGGUGAACCAUCUUGGACUGGAGAAGGCAACAAGGCAAUAAAGGCUGCUGCACCCGAGAGGAUUUCGUAACAGCAUCAAGUACAAGUUUAAAUGGGGCAUAUCUUCCAACUUCCAAGGCCGUUUAAUGCAAAUAAAUACUUAUUGGGAAGCUCCCUUCGUCUACUUGCUGGUGGAUCAAGAAUUAAUGGGAGACUACACCCGAGGCGUCCAGGAACUACCGAGGGAACUUCAUGACUCCACCAGAAUUCCUUCUUCCUAUUUCUCUAUUUAAGCAACUAGCAGCCACCAAAGAACUGGGGUUUUGUUUGAUGUAAGUUUAGCCUUUGCUACUUCCUUGUAAACGCGUGUGUCGGCUAGACCACCCGAAUACUUGAAACGGGACCCCAACUUUAUCAGAUCCGUGCGUGUUUGCUUGUUAUCUUGUUCUUGCUUGUUCUCGAUUGCUUGCAGGUUCAAGGCUGUUCUUGGCACGGCAAGAGCAGCAACAACAGGAGUCGGUGUAACUAUCGCUAAGGCGCAACACCCUUGUGGUUGUUGUAGUCGGAUAGCACAACGUCGACCUCCACCCCAAAUCGUAGUUAUCAGGAGACGGUGUACCUAUCGCUCAAGGAGCCACACCAUCUUGGUUGUGGUAGUCGGGCAGCCAACGUCGUUCUCCAACAAGUUUUCCACCUCCAUCAUCUCUCAUCAAAAGAUCGGGCACCCUUCUACCCGUUGGGUUCAUCAAGUGGUAUCAAAUUUCAGGUUGCUCGGUGAGAGAUCUCCAUCUUCCUUGUUUUAUUUACCUACAUUCCACUUUUGCCAAAGAUAUAUUUAGAGCAGAAAAUCACCUAAAAACAUUUUGAGCCUUUGCUUUACUACUUAGUUUUUGACUUGUUGAAUUCACGGUUGCUGCAUUUGUGUCGAGUUGCUGGUCCAAAGUUUCUUGCUGCUAGAGUUUCGAGUUCGUGCCACCUUGUUUAGAUCACCAUUUUUAGUUCUCUAGCUGUAGUUCAAAAAAACAAGGGAAAGGAAAAGGCAAGUGCACAAAAAAAGUCGCGCUUAUAAAAAAAGCACAUACAAAAAAAAGAGAAAAAAAUCGCAUUAAGAAUAUUGGUAGAUAAAAUUCCAUGUACAACAAAUCAAAGAUAGUGUCUGUGCCACCGUUUCAUAAUUUUAUAAGUCAGCUUGUUGUUUUGAGUAUUUGGUGAUAUCAUUUGUGUAACGGCUCGUGUCUCUAUUACGGUUUGGACUAGGACCAGCACAACACCAUUGUGGAACGUUUAUUCAACUUGUUGUGGCUAACGUGGUACUAGCUAUUCCUUGGAACUACUGUUUUAGCAGCCACCUAUCAAUCCACAAAUCUUUCUACAACACCACCAGGUUGUGCUAGCAGCCACUGUUGUUGUUCUUCUUGCUGUUUGCCAGCGCCACUUGCUUUGCGUGCUGAGAACUUGUAAGAGCUUGAUUUCUUGCUAGUGAGGCAGUGUUUAUCCAUCCACAUCAUAGCAACUACUAGGCUGCAUUACUUGUUUUUGUAUCUCUUUUGCACUAACCAUGGCAGAAGAUGCAAAUGCGCGACCUCCACAUUCUCCAUGAACAGUGGGCAUCAUUCAACAUUUCGAACGUCAAGUAAGGUUGCACACAGAUGCCCUCAAUGAAGAUGUUCAAGUCACCAAUGAGCGCAUUGGUCAAUUAGAAACAUCACAAAUUGUUACCAACAACAUAUUGACCACUUUGGAACGAACAGUUGCUGCUACUAACACCUCUCUUGCAGCAAUUAUUGAGCGCUUAGAUAGGAUGGACCAAGUUGGGCGUGAAGGUAGGCAACAAGGUGAUGAUGAUGGCCAUGGUUCCAUUGCUAGUACCGCAAGAGAUGAUUCUACGGAGUAUUCAGCAGACACCGAGCGUGAUGACCGAUCUAUUAGGCACCGACGACACCAACGACGUGAUCGCCAUGGCCUGGGUGGUCGAUCUCCACGACGUGAGGUACGUGAAAAUGAAGAUUCUCUAGGAAGAAUUAAAUUCUCCAUACCACCGUUUGAUGGAAAAUAUGAUCCUGAUGCAUAUCUAACAUGGGAAUUAUCGGUAGAUCAAAAAUUUGCUUGCUAUGAUUUUUCUGAUGAUAAAAAGGUUAGAGCUGCUAUGAGUGAAUUCACUGAUUUUGCUUCUAUUUGGUGGCAUGAGUACCAAACUACACAUCCAGCUACCAUACCACAAACUUGGAAUGCUUUAAAAAGAAUCAUGCGUAGUCGUUUUGUUCCUUCCUAUCAUGCUCGUGGUUUAUUACAUAAAUUACAACAGCUUAGACAAGGCAACAAAUAUGUUGAAGAGUAUUAUCAACAAUUACAAAUAGGCAUGUUGAGGUGUGGUCUUGUAGAAAAUGAAGAUCAGCUGCAAUGGCUAGGUUCAUGGGUGGUUUGACAAGAGAAAUUCAGGAUAUAUUAGCUUACAAGGAAUACACUAAUGUUACUCGCUUAUUUCAUCUUGCUUGUAAGGCUGAAAGAGAAGUCCAGGGACGAUGCUUGAGAACUAACACUUAUGCAGGUCGCAAUACAUCUUGGCAGUCCCGCACUAGUGCUGCUAGCUCUAACCAUGUGUUUCAGGGAGAUGCUUCCAAUAGAUCAUCCACAACACCAUCGAAAUCAGCACCUUCUCGUGCUAUUGAGACAGGGAAAGGAUCCUCCCAAGCUGUAGCCAAAUCUUCUUCUAUUGCUUCCACGGGAAGAACAAAGGACAUCCAAUGCCUCCAAUGCAAAGGAUUUGGGCACAUCCGAAGGGACUGCCCAAGCAAGCGUGUGCUAAUUAUAAGAGAAAAUGUUGAGUACUCAUCAGCCAACGAUUUAGAUAAUGAUACAUAUGCCAUGCUUGCUGCCCAAGAUGCUGAAAAGGAGAAUGAUGAUGAAGAGCAUAUUGGGGCUGAACAUGCUGAACACUAUGAGAGCCUCGUUGUAAGACGUGUCUUGAGUGCCCAAAUUAUUAAAGCUGAACAAAACCAGCGACACAAUUUGUUCCAAACUAAAUGUGUAGUUUUGGAAGGAUCUUGUCGUAUUAUAAUUGAUGGAGGAAGCUGCAACAACUUAGCAAGCACCACCAUGGUAGAGAAGCUUGGGCUGAAAACGCUUCCACAUCCACACCCCUACUACAUCCAAUGGUUCAACGACAGUGGUAAGCUUAAGGUAACACGUAUGGUCCGUGUGGAAUUUACAAUUGGUUCGUACCAUGAUUAUAUUGAUUGUGAUGUGGUACCUAUGCAAGCUUGCUCUAUGUUAUUUGGUAGACCAUGGCAAUUUGAUAAGGACACCGUGCAUCAUGGUAAAACAAAUCACUACUCUUUUAUGCAUAAUGAGAAGAAGCUUGUAUUGCACCCCAUGUCCCCCGAUGCUAUUUUGAAGGAUGAAGUUGCUAGGGCUUGCAAAGAGAAAAAUAAAUUUGUUCAUAAUAAAAAUAUAGGUGCUGCAAAGGAGUUGGUACAACAUAAGAGUGACAAUUCUAAAUCUGCUCAAGUGAGGAAGACAGAAAUACAACUGAAAAGUGCUUGUUUUCUUGCUUCCAAAUCUGAUUUGCUUGAAUUAAAUGAUGUUGCUUCAAUCUGCUAUGUAUUUAUUUGCAAGGAUGCUUUGUUCUCACUUCACAACAUACCAUCUACUUUGCCUUCUACUGUCACUAAUCUUUUGUAGGAAUAUGCUGAUGUAUUUCCAAACGAUGUGCCACCUAGCCUGCCACCGAUAAGAGGAAUUGAGCAUCAGAUUGACCUCAUCCCAGGGGCUUCCUUGCCAAACCGAGCGCCAUACAGGACGAACCCGGAAGAAACCAAGGAGAUUCAGCGACAAGUACAAGAAUUACUCGAUAAAGGUUAUGUGCGUGAGUCCCUUAGUCCUUGCUCUGUCCCUGUUUUAUUAGUCCCAAAGAAAGAUGGCUCAUGGCGCAUGUGUGUAGAUUGUCGAGCAAUUAAUAACAUUACCAUCAGAUAUCGUCAUCCUAUCCCUAGGUUAGAUGAUAUGCUGGAUGAACUUAGUGGCUCGAUGAUUUUCUCUAAAAUUGACUUACAUAGUGGAUAUCACCAAAUUCGCAUGAAGCUAGGGGAUGAAUGGAAAACAACAUUUAAAACCAAGUUUGGUUUGUAUGAGUGGUUAGUCAUGCCUUUUGGUCUCACUAAUGCACCUAGUACUUUCAUGAGAUUAAUGAAUGAGGUUUUACGUGUUUUCAUUGGAAGAUUUGUAGUCGUCUACUUCGAUGACAUCUUGAUCUAUAGCAAAUGUCUAGUAGACCAUCUUGAUUAUCUACGUGCUGUUUUCAAUGCUUUACGUGAAGCACGCUUAUUUGGUAACUGAUAGUCGCCUAGAGGGGGGGUGAAUAGGGCGAAACUGAAAUUUACAAAUAUAAACACAACUACAAGCCGGGUUAGCGUUAGAAAUAUAAACGAGUCCGAGAGAGAGGGCGCAAAACAAAUCCCAAGCGAAUAAGCAAGUGAGACACGGAGAUUUGUUUUACCGAGGUUCGGUUCUUGCAAACCUACUCCCCGUUGAGGAGGCCACAAAGGCCGGGUCUCUUUCAACCCUUCCCUCUCUCAAACGGUCCCUCGGACCGAGUGAGCUUCUCUUCUCUAAUCAAAGCCGGGAACAAAACUUCCCCGCAAGGGCCACCACACAAUUGGUGCCUCUUGCCUUGAUUACAAUGGAGUUGUGAUCUCAAGAACAAGUGAGAAAGAAAAGAAGCAAUCCAAGCGCAAGAGCUCAAAUGAACACGGCAAAUCACUCUCACUAGUCACUAGGGCUUUGUGUGGAAUUGGAGAGGAUUUGAUCUCUUUGAAUGUGUCUAGAAUUGAAUGCCUAGCUCUUGUAGUAGUUGAGAAGUGGAAAACUUGGAUGCAAUGAAUGGUGGGGUGGUUGGGGUAUUUAUAGCCCCAACCACCAAACUUGACCGUUGGCUGGAGGCGUCUGCUCGAUGGCGCACCGGACAGUCCGGUGCACACCGGACAGUCCGGUGCCCCUGCCACGUCAUCACUGCCGUUGGAUUCUGACCGUUGGAGCUUCUGACUUGUGGGCCCGCCUGGGUGUCCGGUGCACACCGGACAUGUACUGUUUGAUGUCCGGUGCACCGGUAUGGGCGAUUCUGACUUCUGCGCGCGCUGAGCGCGCAUUAAAUGCUCCGCAGGGAGCCAUUGGCGCCGCAGGGAGCCGUUGCUCCGCUGGCACACCGGACAGUCCGGUGCACACCGGACAGUCCGGUGAAUUUUAGCGGAGCGGCUGCCGCGCAAACCCGAGGCUGGCGAGUUCAGGAGGCCGAGCUUCCUUGGAGCACCGGACAUGUCCGGUGCACACCGGACAGUCCGGUGAAUUAUAGCGCGCCGGCUUCCGAGAAUUCCCGAAGGCGAAGAGUUUGAGUCUGAGUCCCCUGGUGCACCGGAUAGGUACUGUUCACUGUCCGGUGGCACACCGGACAGUCCGGUGCGCCAGACCAGGGGUGCCUUCGGUUGCCCCUUUGCUCCUUUAUUGAAUCCAAAACUUGGUCUUUUUAUUGGCUGAGGGUGAACCUUUUACACCUGUAUAAUCUAUACACUUGGGCAAACUAGUUAGUCCAAUUAUUUGUGUUGGGCAAUUCAACCACCAAAAUUAUUUAGGAACUAGGUGUAAGCCUAAUUCCCUUUCAAUCUCCCCCUUUUUGGUGAUUGAUGCCAACACAAACCAAAGCAAAUAGAGAAGUGCAUAAUUGAACUAGUUUGCAUAAUGUAAGUGUAAAGGUUGCUUGGAAUUGAGCCAAUAUAACUACUUUACAAGAUAUGCAUGGAAUGUUUCUUUCUUUAUUUAGCAUUUUGGACCACGUUUGCACCACGAGUUUUGUUUUUGCAAAUUCUUUUGUAAAUCCUUUUCAAAGUUCUUUUGCAAAUAAUCAAAGGUAAAUGAAUAAGAGUUUGUAAAGCAUUUUCAAGAUUUGAAAUUUUCUCCCCCUGUUUCAAAUGCUUUUCCUUUGACUAAACAAAACUCCCCCUAAAAGAGAUCCACCUCUUAGUGUUCAAGAGGGUUUUGAUAUACCAUUUUUGAAAUACUACUUUCUCCCCCUUUUGAACACAAUAGGAUACCAAAUGAUAAAUACUUUUGGAAAGCACUAAGUUUUUGAAUUUGGUGGUGGUGGUGCGGUCCUUUUGCUUUGGGCUCAUUUCUCCCCCUUUUUGGCAUGAAUCGCCAAAAACGGAAUCAUUAGAGCCCUCGAAGUAAGUUCUUCCUCUUUGGUCAUAAAUGAAUGAGUUAAGAUUAUACCAAAGACGAAGUCCGGUCCUUUUGCUUUUGAGCUUUUACUCUCUCCCCCAAGGAUGAAGUCCUUUUCUUUGAUGCUCAUUUCUCCCCAAGGAAUAGAGAGUUGCUCGGAGUGAUGGCGAAGCAUGAGUUACGGAGUGGAAGCCUUUGUCUUCGCCGAAGACUCCAAUUCCCUUUCAAUAUACCUAUGACUUGGUUUGAAAUAGACUUGAAAACAUAUUAGUCAUAGUACAUAAAAGAGAUAUAAUCAAAGGUAUUCAAAAGAGCUAUGUGUGCAAGCUAGCAAAAGAAAUUUCUAGAAUCAAGAAUAUUGAGCUCAUGCCUAAGUCUGGUAAAAGAUUGUUCAUCAAGAGGCUUGGUAAAGAUAUCGGCUAAUUGAUCUUUAGUGUUAAUGUAAGAAAUCUCGAUAUCUCCCUUUUGUUGGUGAUCCCUAAGAAAAUGAUACCGAAUGGCUAUGUGCUUAGUGCGGCUAUGCUCGACGGGAUUGUCGGCCAUUUUGAUUGCACUCUCAUUAUCACAUAGCAAAGGAACUUUGGUUAAUUUGUAACCAUAGUCCCGCAGGGUCUGCCUCAUCCAAAGUAAUUGCGCGCAACAAUGGCCUGCGGCAAUAUACUCGGCUUCGGCGGUGGAAAGAGCGACCAAAUUUUGCUUCUUUGAAGCCCAAGACACCAAGGAUCUUCCCAAGAACUGGCAAGUCCCCGAUGUGCUCUUCCUAUUAAUUUUGCACCCUGCCCAAUCGGCAUCCGAAUAACCAAUCAAAUCAAAUGUGGAUCCCCGAGGGUACCAAAGCCCAAACUUAGGUGUGUAAGCCAAAUAUCUCAAGAUUCGUUUUACGGCAGUAAGGUGUGAUUCCUUAGGGUCGGAUUGGAAUCUUGCACACAUGCAAACGGAAAGCAUAAUGUCCGGUCGAGAUGCACAUAAAUAAAGCAAUGACCCAAUCAUCGACCGGUAUACCUUUUGAUCCACGGAUUUACCUCCCGUGUCGAGGUCGAGAUGCCCAUUGGUUCCCAUGGGAGUCUUGAUGGGCUUGGCAUCCUUCAUUCCAAACUUGGUUAGAAUGUCUUGAGUGUACUUCGUUUGGCAAAUGAAGGUGCCCUCUUGGAGUUGCUUGACUUGGAAUCCUAGAAAAUACUUCAACUCCCCCAUCAUCGACAUCUCGAAUUUCUGUGUCAUGAUCCUACUAAACCCUUCACAUGUAGACUUGUUAGUAGACCCAAAUAUAAUAUCAUCAACAUAAAUUUGGCAUACAAACAAGUCAUUUUCAAGAGUUUUAGUAAAGAGUGUAGGAUCGGCCUUGCCAACUUUGAAGCCAUUAGCAAUAAGGAAAUCUCUUAGGCAUUCAUACCAUGCUCUUGGGGCUUGCUUGAGCCCAUAAAGCGCCUUAGAGAGCCUAUAGACAUGGUUAGGAUACUCACUGUCUUCAAAGCCGGGAGGUUGCUCAACAUAGACCUCUUCCUUGAUCGGUCCAUUGAGGAAGGCGCUUUUCACGUCCAUUUGAUAAAGCUUAAAGCCAUGGUAAGUAGCAUAGGCCAAUAAUAUGCGAAUUGACUCAAGCCUAGCUACGGGUGCAUAGGUUUCACCAAAAUCCAAACCUUCGACUUGUGAAUACCCUUUGGCCACGAGUCGAGCUUUGUUCCUUGUCACCACACCAUGCUCAUCUUGCUUGUUGCGGAAGACCCAUUUGGUUCCUACAACAUUUUGGUUAGGACGUGGAACUAAAUGCCAUACCUCAUUCCUCGUGAAAUUGUUGAGCUCCUCUUGCAUUGCCACCACCCAAUCCGAAUCUUGAAGUGCUUCCUCUACCCUGUGUGGCUCAAUAGAGGAGACAAAAGAGUAAUGUUCACAAAAAUGUGCAACACGAGAUCGAGUGGUUACCCCCUUAUGAAUGUCUCCGAGGAUGGUGUCGACGGGGUGAUCUCGUUGGAUUGCUUGGUGGACUCUUGGGUGUGGCGGCCUUGGUUCUUCCUCAUCCUCCUUUUCUUGAUCAUUUGCAUCUCCCCCUUGAUCAUUGCCAUUAUCUUGAGGUGGCUCAUCUUCUUGAUUUUGCCCUUCAUCAACUUGAGCCUCAUCCUCAUUUUGAGUUGGUGGAGAUGCUUGCAUGGAGGAGGACGGUUGAUCUUGUGCAUUUGGAGGCUCUUCGGAUUCCCUAGGACACACAUCCCCAAUGGACAUGUUCCUUAGCGCUAUGCAUGGAGCCUGUUCUUCACCUAUCUCAUCAAGAUCAACUUGCUCUACUUGAGAGCCGUUAGUUUCAUCAAACACAACGUCACAUGAGACUUCAACUAGUCCAGUGGACUUGUUAAAGACCCUAUAUGCCCUUGUGUUUGAGUCAUAACCAAGUAAAAAGCCUUCUACAGUUUUAGGAGCAAAUUUAGAUUUUCUACCUCUUUUAACAAGAAUAAAGCAUUUGCUACCAAAAACUCUAAAGUAUGAAAUGUUGGGCUUUUUACCGGUUAGGAGCUCAUAUGAUGUCUUCUUGAGGAUUCGGUGAAGAUAUAACCGGUUGAUGGCGUAGCAGGCGGUGUUGACCGCUUCGGCCCAAAACCGGUCCGGUGUCUUGUACUCAUCAAGCAUGGUUCUUGCCAUGUCCAAAAGAGUUCGAUUCUUCCUCUCCACUACACCAUUUUGUUGUGGCGUGUAGGGAGAAGAGAACUCAUGCUUGAUGCCCUCCUCCUCAAGGAAGCUUCCAAUUUGAGAGUUCUUGAACUCCGUCCCGUUGUCGCUUCUUAUUUUCUUGAUCCUUAAGGCGAACUCAUUUUGAGCCCGUCUCAAGAAUCCCUUUAAGGUCUCUUGGGUUUGAGAUUUUUCCUGUAAAAAGAAUACCCAAGUGAAGCGAGAAUAAUCAUCCACUAUUACAAGACAAUACUUACUCCCGCCGAUGCUUAUGUAAGCAAUCGGGCCGAAUAAAUCCAUGUGGAGUAGCUCAAGCGGCCUGUCGGUCGUCAUGAUGUUCUUGUGUGGAUGAUGGACUCCAACUUGCUUCCCUGCCUGGCAUGCGCUACAAAUCCUGUCUUUCUCAAAAUGAACAUUUGUUAAUCCUAAAAUGUGCUCUCCCUUUAGAAGCUUGUGAAGAUUCUUCAUCCCAACAUGGGCUAGUCGGCGAUGCCAGAGCCAACCCAUGUUAGUCUUAGCAAUUAAGCAAGUGUCGAGUUCAGCUCUAUCAAAAUCUACCAAGUAUAGCUGACCCUCUAACACUCCCUUAAAUGCUAUUGAAUCAUCACUUCUUCUAAAGACAGUGACACCUACAUCAGUGAAUAGACAGUUGUAGCCCAUUUGACAUAAUUGGGAAACAGAAAGCAAGUUGUAAUCUAAUGAAUCAACAAGAAAAACAUUAGAAAUGGAAUGGUCAGGAGAUAUAGCAAUUUUACCCAAUCCUUUGACCAAACCUUGAUUUCCAUCCCCGAAUGUGAUAGCUCGUUGGGGAUCUUGGUUUUUCUCAUAUGAGGAGAACAUCCUUUUCUCCCCGGUCAUGUGGUUUGUGCACCCGCUGUCGAGUAUCCAACUUGAGCCCCCGGAUGCAUAAACCUACAAAACAAUUUUAGUUCUUGACUUUAGGUACCCAAACUGUUUUGGGUCCUUUGGCAUUAGAUACAAGAACUUUGGGUACCCAAACGCAAGUCUUGGAGCCCUUGUGUUUGCCCCCAACAAAUUUGGCAACUACCUUGCCGGAUUUGCUAGUAAGCACAUAAGAUGCAUCAAAAGUUUUAAAUGAAAUGGCAUGAUCAUUUGAUGCAUUAGGAGUUUUCUUUCUAGGCAACUUGGCACGGGUUGGUUGCCUAGAGCUAGAUGUCUCACCCUUAUACAUAAAAGCAUGAUUAGGGCCAGAGUGAGACUUCCUAGAAUGAACUCUCCUAAUUUUGCUCUCGGGAUAACCGGCAGGGUACAAAAUGUAACCCCCGUUAUCCUGAGGCAUGGGAGCCUUGCCCUUAACAAAGUUAGACAAAUUUUUAGGAGGGGCAUUAAGUUUGACAUUGUCUCCCCUUUGGAAGCCAAUGCCAUCCUUAAUGCCAGGGCGUCUCCCAUUAUAAAGCAUGCUACGAGCAAAUUUAAAUUUCUCAUUUUCUAAGUUGUGCUCGGCAAUUUUAGCAUCAAGUUUAGCUAUAUGAUCAUUUUGUUGCUUAAUUAAGAUCAUGUGAUCAUGAAUAGCAUUAAUAUCAAUAUCUCUACAUCUAGCACAAAUAGUGACAUGCUCAAUGGUAGAUGUAGAGGGUUUGCAAGAAUCAAGUUCCACAAUCUUAGCAUGAAGAAUAUCAUUUUUAUCUUUAAGAUUGGAAAUUGUAACUUUGCAAACAUCAAAAUCCUUAGCCUUAGCAAUUAAAUCUUCAUUCUCUAAUCUAAGGCUAGCAAGAGAUGCAUUCAAUUCAUCAAUCUUAGCAAGCAAGUCAAUAUUAUCAUCUCUAAGAUUGGGAAUUGAAACAUUACAAACAUGUGAAUCAACCUUAGCAUUUAGAAUAGCAUUUUCAUUUCUAAGGUUGUCAAUCAUCUCACGGCAUGUGCUUAGCUCACUAGACAAUUUUUCACAUUUUUCUACUUCUAGAGCAUAAGCCUUUUUAACCUUAACAUGUUUCUUGUUUUCUUUAAUUAGACAAUCCUCUUGGGAGUCCAAAAGGUCAUCCUUUUCAUGAAUAGCACUAAUCAAUUCAUUUAGUUUUUCUUUUUGCUCCAUGUUAAGAUUGGCAAAGAGAAUACGCAAAUUAUCCUCCUCAUCACUAGCAUUAUCAUCACUAGACGAUUCAUAUUUAGUGGAGGAGUUGGAUUUAACCUUCUUUUUGCCGUCCUUUGCCAUGAGGCACUUGUGACCGACGUUGGGGAAGAGGAGUCCCUUGGUGACGGCGAUGUUGGCGGCGUCCUCGUCGUCGGAGGAGUCGCUUGAGCUUUCGUCGGAAUCCCAUUCCCGACAAACAUGGGCAUCGCCGCCCUUCUUCUUGUAGUACCUUUUCUUCUCCUUUCUUCUCCCCUUCUUGUCGUCGCCUCGGUCACUGUCACUAGAUAUAGGACAUUUAGCAAUAAAAUGACCGGGCUUACCACACUUGUAGCAAACCUUCUUGGAGCGGGACUUGUAGUCCUUCCCCCUCCUUUGCUUUAGGAUUUGGCGGAAGCUCUUGAUGACGAGCGCCAUUUCCUCAUUGUCGAGCUUGGAGGCGUCUAUUGGUUGUCUACUUGGUGUAGACUCCUCCUUCUUCUCCUCCGUUGCCUUGAAUGCAACGGGUUGGGCUUCGGAUGGGUCGCCAAGCUCGUUGAUUUUCCUCGAGCCUUCUAUCAUGCACUCAAAACUUACAAAAUGCCCGAUAACUUCCUCGGGGGUCAUUUUAGUAUAUCUAGGAUUACCACGAAUCAAUUGAACUUGAGUGGGAUUAAGAAAAAUGAGAGAUCUUAAAAUAACAUUUACCACUUCGUGGUCGUCCCACUUCUUGCUCCCGAGGUUGCGUACUUGGUUCACCAAAGUCUUGAGCCGGUUGUACAUGUGUUGUGGCUCCUCCCCUUUUUGAAGCCGGAACCGACCGAGCUCCCCCUCGAUCGUUUCCCGCUUGGUGAUCUUGGUGAGCUCAUCUCCCUGGUGCGCAGUUUUGAGCACAUCCCAAACCUCCUUGGCGCUCUUCAAUCCUUGCACUUUGUUAUACUCUUCUUUGCUUAAAGAGGCGAGGAGUAUCGUCGUUGCUUGAGAGUUAAAGUGCUCGAUUUGGGCCACCUCAUCCUCACCAUAGUUCUCAUCCCCUACCGACGGUACCUGUGCACCAAACUCAACAACAUCCCAUAUACUUUUGUGGAGCGAGAUUAGAUGAAAUCGCAUUAAAUCGCUCCACCUAGCGUAAUCUUCACCAUCAAAAGUUGGUGGUUUGCCUAAUGGGACGGAAAGUAAAGGUGUAUGUUUGGAAAUGCGAGGGUAGCGUAGGGGGAUCUUACUAUACUUCUUGCGCUCUUGGCGCUUAGAAGUGACGGAGGGCGCAUCGGAGUCGGAGGUAGAAGUUGAUGAAGUGUCGGUCUCGUAGUAGACCACCUUCCUCAUCCUCUUGUGCUUGUCGCCUUUCCGAUGCGGCUUGUGGGAAGAAGAUUUUUCCUUCUUCUCUUUGUGGUGAGAAGAAGAUUUCUUCUCCUUCCCUUUGUUGGAGGAGCUCUUCUUCUUCUCCCUCCUUUUGGUGCGGGACUCUUCCGAUGAAGUGCUCCCGUAGCUUGUAGUGGGCUUUUCGCCGGUCUCCAUCUCCUUCUUGGCGUGAUCUCCCGACAUCACUUCGAGCGGUUAGGCUCUAAUGAAGCACCGGCCUCUGAUACCAAUUGAUAGUCGCCUAGAGGGGGGGUGAAUAGGGCGAAACUGAAAUUUACAAAUAUAAACACAACUACAAGCCGGGUUAGCGUUAGAAAUAUAAACGAGUCCGAGAGAGAGGGCGCAAAACAAAUCCCAAGCGAAUAAGCAAGUGAGACACGGAGAUUUGUUUUACCGAGGUUCGGUUCUUGCAAACCUACUCCCCGUUGAGGAGGCCACAAAGGCCGGGUCUCUUUCAACCCUUCCCUCUCUCAAACGGUCCCUCGGACCGAGUGAGCUUCUCUUCUCUAAUCAAAGCCGGGAACAAAACUUCCCCGCAAGGGCCACCACACAAUUGGUGCCUCUUGCCUUGAUUACAAUGGAGUUGUGAUCUCAAGAACAAGUGAGAAAGAAAAGAAGCAAUCCAAGCGCAAGAGCUCAAAUGAACACGGCAAAUCACUCUCACUAGUCACUAGGGCUUUGUGUGGAAUUGGAGAGGAUUUGAUCUCUUUGAAUGUGUCUAGAAUUGAAUGCCUAGCUCUUGUAGUAGUUGAGAAGUGGAAAACUUGGAUGCAAUGAAUGGUGGGGUGGUUGGGGUAUUUAUAGCCCCAACCACCAAACUUGACCGUUGGCUGGAGGCGUCUGCUCGAUGGCGCACCGGACAGUCCGGUGCACACCGGACAGUCCGGUGCCCCUGCCACGUCAUCACUGCCGUUGGAUUCUGACCGUUGGAGCUUCUGACUUGUGGGCCCGCCUGGGUGUCCGGUGCACACCGGACAUGUACUGUUUGAUGUCCGGUGCACCGGUAUGGGCGAUUCUGACUUCUGCGCGCGCUGAGCGCGCAUUAAAUGCUCCACAGGGAGCCGUUGGCGCCGCAGGGAGCCGUUGCUCCGCUGGCACACCGGACAGUCCGGUGCACACCGGACAGUCCGGUGAAUUUUAGCGGAGCGGCUGCCGCGCAAACCCGAGGCUGGCGAGUUCAGGAGGCCGAGCUUCCUUGGAGCACCGGACAUGUCCGGUGCACACCGGACAGUCCGGUGAAUUAUAGCGCGCCGGCUUCCGAGAAUUCCCGAAGGCGAAGAGUUUGAGUCUGAGUCCCCUAGUGCACCGGACAGGUACUGUUCACUGUCCGGUGGCACACCGGACAGUCCGGUGCGCCAGACCAGGGGUGCCUUCGGUUGCCCCUUUGCUCCUUUAUUGAAUCCAAAACUUGGUCUUUUUAUUGGCUGAGGGUGAACCUUUUACACCUGUAUAAUCUAUACACUUGGGCAAACUAGUUAGUCCAAUUAUUUGUGUUGGGCAAUUCAACCACCAAAAUUAUUUAGGAACUAGGUGUAAGCCUAAUUCCCUUUCAGUAACCUUGACAAGUGCACAUUUUGCACAGACCGUGUCUCUUUUCUUGGCUGUGUUGUGACACCGCAGGGAAUUGAAGUUGAUCAGGCUAAGGUGAAGGCCAUACAUAGCUGGCUAGUCCCUACCACGGUCACGCAAGUCCGAAGCUUUCUCGGGCUUGUGGGGUUCUAUCGUCGAUUUGUGAAAGAUUUCAGCACCAUCGCAGGGCCAUUGCAUGAGCUUACUAAGAAGGGUGCUCCAUUUUCUUGGGGCAAGGCGCAAGAGAUUGCAUUUGAAACAUUGAAGGAUAUGUUAACUCAUACACCCCUUCUCCAAUUACCUGAUUUCAGUAAGACUUUUGAAUUGGAAUGUGAUGCUAGUGGUAUUGGUUUGGGUGGUGUCUUGUUGCAAGAAGGGAAGCCUGUUUCUUAUUUUAGUGAGAAACUGAAUGGACCCAGUUUGAACUAUUCCACUUAUGAUAAAGAAUUAUAUGCCUUAUUUCGAACUUUGGAAACAUGGCAACACUACUUAUGGCCUAAAGAAUUUGUUAUACAUUAUGAUCAAGAAUCUUUAAAGCAUCUAAGGAGCCAAACAAAUCUAAACCAUAGGCAUGCCAAGUGGGUCGAAUUUAUUGAAUCUUUUCCCUAUGUCAUCAAACAUAAGAAAGGAAAAGAUAAUGUCAUUGCAGAUGCCUUGUCUCGCUGUUAUACCAUGCUGUCUCAACUUGAUUUUAAGAUUUUUGGCUUGGAAACAAUUAAACAACAAUAUGUUUUCGAUGCUGAUUUCAAAGAUGUGCUAUUACAUUGUAAAGAAGGAAGGACAUGGAACAAAUUUGUUCUCACUGAUGGCUUUGUGUUUCGGGCUAACAAAUUAUGCAUUCCAGCUGGUUCUGUGCGUAUAUUAUUAUUACAGGAAGCACAUGGCGUUGGGUUGAUGGGACACUUUGGUGUGAAGAAGACAGAAGACAUCCUGGCCAGCCAUUUCUUUUGGCCGAAGAUGAGAAGAGACAUGGAGCGAUUUGUUGCUCGCUGCACUACAUGUCAAAAAGCUAAGUCUCGCCUUAAUUCACAUGGUUUAUACAUGCCUCUCCCAGUUCCUAGUGCACCAUGGGAGGAUAUUUCUAUGGACUUUGUUUUAGGGCUACCUAGAACAAAGAAGGGGAGGGAUAAUAUUUUUGUUGUUGUGGACAGAUUUUCAAAAAUGGCACACUUUAUACCAUGUCACAAAACUGAUGACGCUACCCAUGUUGCUGAUUUGUUCUUUCGUGAAGUUGUUCGUUUGCAUGGGGUUCCAAACACUAUUGUAUCCGAUCGGGAUACCAAAUUUCUUAGUCAUUUUUGGAAAACGUUAUGGGCUAAGUUGGGAACUAAAUUGCUCUUUUCUACUACUUGUCACCCUCAAACCGAUGGACAAACCAAAGUCGUAAACCGUAGUUUAUCUACCAUGCUUAGGGCUGUUCUGAAACAUAACAUCAAAUUAUGGGAAGAAUGUUUGCCUCACAUUGAAUUUUCUUAUAAUCAUUCUCAGCAUUCUACAACUAAACUAUGCCCUUUUAAAAUUGUGUAUGGUUUUGUCCCUCGUGCUCCUUUUGAUCUUAUUGCCAUCCCACAUUCUGAAAUAAUGAAUUUUGAUGCUUCUCGUCGUGCUGAACUGAUUAUAAAACUGCAUGAACAAACUAAAGGAAAUAUUAAAGCCAUGAAUGCUAAGUAUGAAGAAGCAGGUAGCAAGGGUAGAAAGCAUAUUACCUUUGAACCUGGUGAUUUAGUAUGGGUGCAUUUAAGGAAAGAUAGAUUCCCUGAUAUGCGCAAAUCUAAAUUACAACCAAGAGCUGCUGGACCCUUCAAAGUGCUUCACAAAAUUAAUGAUAAUGCAUAUAAAGUUCAGUUGCCUGCAGAUUUUGGGGUCAGUUCCUCUUUUAACAUUGCAGAUUUAACACCAUACUUGGGAGAGAAUGACACGUUUGAGUCGAGGACGACUUUGUUGCAAGAAGGGGAGGAUGAUGAGGACAUCACUAUCAAUGAUACAACCAUACCAGUGACCACUUCACCAUUCGUAGCUAAUCAAGGACCAAUGACACGAGCCUGUGCACGUAAACUUAAUUAUCAGGUGAACUCGUUCCUUGCCAUUGAAGCUAAUUCUUCUUUAAAUGAGGUACUAAAUGAUGAGGAUAUCCUCCACUAUUACCCGUUGGCAAAGACGCAAUUGGCCUAGUUGGGCCAAUUGUAGUCGGACGGUGACCGUGUGAGCCUCAGAAUUAUCCCACCUCGCUUAACUUGGGAGGAGGAAGCCACUUUAAAAGGGAGAGCCACCCUUCCCCCAUUGGACUAGUCUUUUGGGGCGAUUGGGCCUUUCCCUGAGUUGGGUGUGCAUAAUGAACUGUUGGGCUCUGGGCAACCCUAAUUUGUUGGGCCUCGGCCAAACCCACCUGGGCUAGGUGUAUCAUCUGGUAUCAGAGCUAGGGCCCAUUUUAAGAAGGUGGGAAUGAUGAGGAUAUCCUCCACUAUUACCCGUUGGCAAAGACGCAAUUGGCCUAGUUGGGCCAAUUGUAGUCGGACGGUGACCGUGUGAGCCUCAGAAUUAUCCCACCUCGCUUAACUUGGGAGGAGGAAGCCACUUUAAAAGGGAGAGCCACCCUUCCCCCAUUGGACUAGUCUUUUGGGCGAUUAGGCCUUUCCCUGAGUUGGGU
rnacentral:lncRNA from 1 species